ACGCUCGACACCUACGGGGGCAGCAGUGGGGGAUAUUGCACAAUGGGGGAAACCCUGAUGCAGCAACGCCGCGUGAGGGAAGAAGGUUUUCGGAUUGUAAACCUCUGUCCCCGGGGAAGAUAAUGACGGUACCCGGGGAGGAAGCUCCGGCUAACUACGUGCCAACAGCCGCGGUAAUCUGAGCGGGCUGGCAAGGC
rnacentral:rRNA from 1 species